ACCGACAUCAGUGAUUCGUUCUGCGAACCGUUGCCGACCGCCAGAUAAGAGUUCAUUCCCAGCUCUUUCAUCUGCUGUUCGCCGAUAACGCGGGUAAUGACGUUCUUACUGUAGGUAUCGGCCAGCUGGCGCGCCUGAGAAGCCAGAUAGGCAGCGUUACAGAUGUUUGGCGGCAUAUUGCCGAGAUCUUUUGC
rnacentral:antisense_RNA from 1 species